GAUGAACGCUGGCGGCGUGCCUAAUACAUGCAAGUCGAACGAAGAUCUAGCUUGCUAGAUCUUAGUGGCGAACGGGUGAGUAAUACAUAAAUAAUCUGCCCAUAUGACUGGGAUAACUAUUGGAAACGAUAACUAAUACCGGAUAGGUUGAUCGGAGGCAUCUCCGAUGAAUUAAAGUAGGAUUUCUACACAAAUGGAUGAGUUUAUGGCGCAUUAGUUAGUUGGUGGGGUAACGGCCUACCAAGACGAUGAUGCGUAGCCGACCUGAGAGGGUGACCGGCCACACUGGGACUGCGACACGGCCCAGACUCCUACGGGAGGCAGCAGUAUGGAAUUUUCGGCAAUGGGCGCAAGCCUGACCGAGCAACGCCGCGUGAGUGAUUAAGGCCUUCGGGUUGUAAAGCUCUGUUGUAAGGGAAUAACAUUCAGGAUAGGAAAUGAUCUUGAACUGACGGUACCUUACCAGAAAGCCACGGCUAACUACGUGCCAGCCGCCGCCGUAA
rnacentral:rRNA from 1 species